rnacentral:rRNA from 1 species
CCCUACGGGAGGCAGCAGUGGGGGAUAUUGCACAAUGGGGGAAACCCUGAUGCAGCGACGCCGCGUGGGUGAAGAAGCGCCUCGGCGCGUAAAGCCCUGUCAGCAGGGAAGAAAAUGACGGUACCUGAAGAAGAAGCCCCGGCUAACUACGUGCCAGCAGCCGCGGUAAUACGUAGGGGGCAAGCGUUAUCCGGAUUUACUGGGUGUAAAGGGAGCGUAGACGGUGCGUCAAGUCUGAAGUGAAAGCCCGGGGCUUAACCCCGGGACUGCUUUGGAAACUGGCGCGCUAGAGUGCUGGAGAGGUA